AUUGAACGCUGGCGGCAGGCCUAACACAUGCAAGUCGAGCGGAUGAAGGGAGCUUGCUCCUGGAUUCAGCGGCGGACGGGUGAGUAAUGCCUAGGAAUCUGCCUGGUAGUGGGGGAUAACGUCCGGAAACGGGCGCUAAUACCGCAUACGUCCUGAGGGAGAAAGUGGGGGAUCUUCGGACCUCACGCUAUCGGAUGAGCCUAGGUCGGAUUAGCUAGUUGGUGGGGUAAAGGCCUACCAAGGCGACGAUCCGUAACUGGUCUGAGAGGAUGAUCAGUCACACUGGAACUGAGACACGGUCCAGACUCCUACGGGAGGCAGCAGUGGGGAAUAUUGGACAAUGGGCGAAAGCCUGAUCCAGCCAUGCCGCGUGUGUGAAGAAGGUCUUCGGAUUGUAAAGCACUUUAAGUUGGGAGGAAGGGCAGUAAGUUAAUACCUUGCUGUUUUGACGUUACCAACGGAAUAAGCACCGGCUAACUUCGUG
rnacentral:rRNA from 1 species